rnacentral:rRNA from 1 species
CCUACGGGUGGCAGCAGUGGGGGAUAUUGCACAAUGGGGGAAACCCUGAUGCAGCGACGCCGCGUGUGGGAAGACGGUCCUCUGGAUUGUAAACCACUGUCCCCAGGGACGAAGAUGACGGUACUUGGGGAGGAAGUUCCGGCUAACUACGUGCCAGCAGCCGCGGUAAUACGUAGGGAGCGAGCGUUGUCCGGAAUUACUGGGUGUAACGGGAGCGUAGGCGGGGAUGCAAGUUGGGUGUCAAAACUACCGUCUAAACUGGUAGUCGCACUCAAAAGUGCAGCUCUUGAGUGAAGUAGAGGCAGGCGGAAUUCCUGGUGUAGCGGUGAAAUGCAUAGAUAUCACGCAGAACCCCGAUUGCGAAGGCAGCAUGCCGGCUUCCGACUGACGCUGAAGCACGAAAGCGUGGGGAUCGAACAGGAUUAGAUACCCUAGUAGUC